AUCAAAGGUCAACGUGCGCCAGGUGAGGUUAGCAUCAUUUGAUUACUAGCAAAGCAUCAUGAAAGACAAACAGCGCUUUCACGGCCAUGCUACUGCGAAACCGAGAUUCUGGAAAAGAAACUUCGAAGCAGUUCUGGCCUCCGAACAAACUAAAUAUCUCAGCGUACGGUGGAGGUGUCAGCAACCACACGAAAAAAAAUACCGGCCUGAUAGAAGUGCAUUGGGACGUUACAUGACAUGAAUGUGGACCAUUUCGCCUAAGGAGAGAAGACCUCUGCGUCAAAUAAUACCCUGAUAGUCCCCACCUGAAAGCAGUGCCUCAUGCUGUCUGCCUUUACUUACUUGCUGUUUUUGGGAUGAUAGCCGCAGAAGGAGACGUUCUUCAACUGGAAGAAAUGACUGCACUCAUUACUCUGAAAAGGACACAGAAAAAGGUACCAGAUUGCUGAGGGGGGCUGUGGUAGAAAGCCUUAAGUGGAAACAAGUGGCAAGCAUCAGCUGCUCACACACUGGCAGAGAGGAGUUUCACCAGCAGAACAUAACUCUCCCUGGGGUUACCUCCAUCUGGGUUUCUCAUCAGGAUAUGUUACACUCUCUGUGUCCUUUGUCACUUCUAUGGCGUAGUAAGCGGGGAAGAUCCCACGGGCACCAGUUCGCAUGUUGUAGCCCUCAUACCAGUA